GACGAACGCUGGCGGCGUGCUUAACACAUGCAAGUCGAACGGAAAGGCCUCUUUCGGGGGGUACUCGAGUGGCGAACGGGUGAGUAACACGUGAGUAACCUGCCCUUGACUUUGGGAUAACUUCAGGAAACUGGGGCUAAUACCGGAUAGGAGCUCCUGCUGCAUGGUGGGGGUUGGAAAGUUUCGGCGGUUGGGGAUGGACUCGCGGCUUAUCAGCUUGUUGGUGGGGUAGUGGCUUACCAAGGCUUUGACGGGUAGCCGGCCUGAGAGGGUGACCGGCCACAUUGGGACUGAGAUACGGCCCAGACUCCUACGGGAGGCAGCAGUGGGGAAUAUUGCACAAUGGGUGGAAGCCUGAUGCAGCAACGCCGGGGGCGGGAUGACGGCCUUCGGGUUGGAAACCGCUUUCGCUCAUGACGAAGCUUUGUGUGACGGUAGUGGGUAAAGAAGCACCGGCUAACUACGUG
rnacentral:rRNA from 1 species